CAGGGUGGGCCAGGAACAUGGAUAAGAAUCAUCUUCCUCCUGAUGAAUUUAGUAGGGCUUUCAGUGGCAAGGGAUGGCUGGGUAGGCUGGUUCACUACGGAUACCUUAAAUUUAUGGAGCUGUGUUCUCAGGUGGGAAUGAACACAGUAGUCUUGAGGUAAAGGUGAGCAGAUAUUGCUGGAGCAAAGUCACAUGGGAUAUGUUACAUAAAUAGUAAAUGGAUGUACG
rnacentral:lncRNA from 1 species